rnacentral:rRNA from 1 species
UCGUCAUCGUAGGGUUAGUCGGGUCCUAAGCCGAGUCCGAAAGGGGUAGGCGAUGGCAAAUUGGUUAAUAUUCCAAUACCAACAUUAGUGUGCGAUGGAAGGACGCUUAGGGCUAAGGGGGCUAGCGGAUGGAAGUGCUAGUCUAAGGUCGUAGGAGGUUAUACAGGCAAAUCCGUAUAACAAUACUCCGAGAACUGAAAGGCUUUUUGAAGUCUUCGGAUGGAUAGAAGAACCCCUGAUGCCGUCGAGCCAAGAAAAGUUUCUAAGUUUAGCUAAUGUUGCCCGUACCGUAAACCGACACAGGUGGGUGGGAUGAGUAUUCUAAGGCGCGUGGAAGAACUCUCUUUAAGGAACUCUGCAAAAUAGCACCGUAUCUUCGGUAUAAGGUGUGGUUCGCUUCGUACUAGGAUUUACUCCGAAAGCGAAGAAACUUACAACAAAGAGUCCCUCCCGACUGUUUAC